rnacentral:piRNA from 1 species
UAAAAUUCCUGGUGUUUGACAAUGCACACC